rnacentral:tRNA from 1 species
GGGAGUGUCGUUCAGAGGUAGGACUCUGGUCUCCAAAACCAGUAACCCAGGUUCGAUUCCUGGCACUCCCGCCC